GAUGAAGAACGCAGCGAAUUGCGAUAUGUAAUGUGAAUUGCAGAUUUUCAGUGAAUCAUCGAAUCUUUGAACGCACCUUGCGCUCCUUGGUAUUCCGAGGAGCAUGCCUGUUUGAGUGUCAUGAAAUUCUCAACCUUUUCAGCUUUCUUUGUUGAUCAGGCUUGGAUGUGGGAGUAUGCGGGCUUCUCAGAAGUCGGCUCUCCUGAAAUGCAUUAGCGGGACCUUUGUUGCCUGGCUUUGGUGUGAUAAUUAUCUACGCCAUUGUAGUCAAGCAGCUUAAAAUGAGGUUUCAGCUUCUAACCGUCUCCCCUGAGACAACUUUUUGACAAUUUGACCUCAAAUCAGGUAGGACUACCCGCUGAACUUAAGCAUAUCAAUAAGCGGAGGA
rnacentral:misc_RNA from 1 species